AGAGCUCAAAGUUGGAAACUGUUUGGCUUAGCUAAACCGUAUUGUAAACUGUAGAAACAUUUUCCUGGCACACCAGAUUAAUAAGUCCUUUGGAACAAGGCAUCAUGGAGGGUGAGAAUCCCGUCUUUGAUCUGAGUAGUUGUCUUUUGUGAUAUGUUUUCAAAGAGUCAGGUUGUUUGGGAAUGCAGCCUAAAUUGGGUGGUAAAUCUCACCUAAAGCUAAAUAUUUGCGAGAGACCGAUAGCGAACAAGUACCGUGAGGGAAAGAUGAAAAGAACUUUGAAAAGAGAGUUAAACAGUAUGUGAAAUUGUUAAAAGGGAACCGUUUGGAGCCAGACUGGUUUGACUGUAAUCAACCUAGAAUUCGUUUUGGGUGCACUUGCAGUCUAUACCUGCCAACAACAGUUUGAUUUGGAGGACAAAAUUAAUAGGAAUGUAGCCUCUCGAGGUGUUAUAGACUAUUAUCAUACUCUGGAUUGGACUGAGGAACGCAGCGAAUGCCUUUAGGCAAGAUUGCUGGGUGCUUUCGCUAAUAAAUGUUAGAAUUUCUGCUUCGGGUGGUGCUAAUGUUUAAAGGAGGAACACAUCUAGUAUAUUUUUUAUUCGCUUAGGUUGUUGGCUUAAUGACUCUAAAUGAC
rnacentral:rRNA from 1 species